rnacentral:rRNA from 1 species
CCGGAGCUUGCUCCACCGAAAGAAAAAGAGUGGCGAACGGGUGAGUAACACGUGGGUAACCUGCCCAUCAGAAGGGGAUAACACUUGGAAACAGGUGCUAAUACCGUAUAACACUAUUUUCCGCAUGGAAGAAAGUUGAAAGGCGCUUUUGCGUCACUGAUGGAUGGACCCGCGGUGCAUUAGCUAGUUGGUGAGGUAACGGCUCACCAAGGCAACGAUGCAUAGCCGACCUGAGAGGGUGAUCGGCCACACUGGGACUGAGACACGGCCCAGACUCCUACGGGAGGCAGCAGUAGGGAAUCUUCGGCAAUGGACGAAAGUCUGACCGAGCAACGCCGCGUGAGUGAAGAAGGUUUUCGGAUCGUAAAACUCUGUUGUUAGAGAAGAACAAGGAUGAGAGUAAAAUGUUCAUCCCUUGACGGUAUCUAACCAGAAAGCCACGGCUAACUACGUGCCAGCAGCCGCGGUAAUACGUAGGUGGCAAGCGUUGUCCGGAUUUAUUGGGCGUAAAGCGAGCGCAGGCGGUUUCUUAAGUCUGAUGUGAAAGCCCCCGGCUCAACCGGGGAGGGUCAUUGGAAACUGGGAGACUUGAGUGCAGAAGAGGAGAGUGGAAUUCCAUGUGUAGCGGUGAAAUGCGUAGAUAUAUGGAGGAACACCAGUGGCGAAGGCGGCUCUCUGGUCUGUAACUGACGCUGAGGCUCGAAAGCGUGGGGAGCGAACAGGAUUAGAUACCCUGGUAGUCCACGCCGUAAACGAUGAGUGCUAAGUGUUGGAGGGUUUCCGCCCUUCAGUGCUGCAGCAAACGCAUUAAGCACUCCGCCUGGGGAGUACGACCGCAAGGUUGAAACUCAAAGGAAUUGACGGGGGCCCGCACAAGCGGUGGAGCAUGUGGUUUAAUUCGAAGCAACGCGAAGAACCUUACCAGGUCUUGACAUCCUUUGACCACUCUAGAGAU